UGGGUCGCCUUUCUUCUUUCGUCUCGGUGGAUAUUAAGGCAGGCAGGUAGCAUGGCGGCGUAUGGGCCGGUUCUUGCGGUCGGUGUCACGGUGUUGGGGUGGGCCUAGGCAGGGGGUUUCGUUACCGGCGAGGCGGCGCGUUCGCCCCCGAGCGGAAGGCGUGCCGCCGCGAGCGCGAGGAGCGGUAGGAGCGGCAGCGCGCUCCCGUCGUCGUCAUGCUCCGGUUGCGCGUAUGGUUAACGAUGCCGUCUUUGCCGUCGAGGCACGAGCCGAUGUGGACGUUGCGGUGGCGACGCCGGCGAGGGACGCGGUGGAUGCAGCAGAAGGCGAGGAGGGGCGGCAUGAUGCCGUGCCGGCAGAGGUAGAGGAUGGAGGAGCCGAGGCUAGGCCGGCGACAGCGCCUGCGGUUGCCGCAAGGGUGGCAGAGGGGCGAGCGGCUGAGGACGGAGCACGAGCGCGGACAGGGGACGCCGACGAGAGGCGCGCCGAUGAUGGUCGUGUUGAGGUCGGUGUGGUAGGUCAAGGCGCCGCUCUGGAUGAAGUAGUAGUAGUAGCGGUUGUUGUGGAUGGUCCCGGAGUGGUGGACGGUCCGCGAGGAGCGCGUCUUGGGGUCCGUGCCGUCGGCGCUGGAGCAGCGGCCCUUGUUGGAGUGGCACGGCUAGGCGACGCGCACGGGGAGCGGCCGUGUCCGGCGGCGGCCCCAGUCCGUGGACGAGUGGAUGGAGCAGUACACCCCGCUGUCGCAGAGCCGGUAGCGGCUGGCGAAGGCACAGCUGUGGGUCCGACACGAGGUCCGGUUGUUGGAGUGGCGAUCGCUCUAGUAUAAAGGGAAGUGGUGAGACGAGUAGGGCGAGUUCUCGCGCGGGUGCGGCCUGUACGAGCACAGCGCCCGCGGCGGCGGGCGUGGUCGCGGUGGCGUCCGGGUCGUCGGCGGCCGUAGAUCGUCGCCCUUCACCUAACGGCAGCCGCAGCCACAACCACAGCCGCAAGAACGCGACCGCCCGGAAUAUCCUGACUGGAACAAUACACAGGCGGCCGCCGCAGGGGCCGGUCCGCAACCCCUUUCCUCGGCACCCUCGUUCCACUAAGAGCUGCACGGGAGCAGCCGCCUAAUGCUGCGAGAACGGAGCCCGUUCGUAUGUAGCAGCCGAUACUGCUGGAGGAGCAGAAGUAGCCGCAACCACAGGUCGCUGCGCGCGCGCCGCCACCUCAGAGACUGGCACAUGUUCAUAAGGCUGGAGCUCUUCCGCUGCCGCCCCAAGAGCCUCCUGGCCGCCCAGUUCUUGCGCAGGCACAUGGCGCGCCUCAAGUUGCCGCUGCGCCUCCGCACUUCGCCCACCGGCCGCUACACUCGCCGCUCCAGCCGUAGGACUUCGCGCACUUGGUGAGGUCGGAACAGGCGGACAGGCCAAAGACGCAGGUGGUGCCGCUGUGGAUGGAGCAGAAGCUCAAGCGGCUCUUGCCGCGCGAGUCGCUGACCGAGGUGCCGCCGCCGCGGUGGGAGCACACCUUCGUCGCGCACGUCCGCCGCAAGCUGCAACGGCUGCCGGAGUUGAUGGAGGUAGUGAUGUGGUUGGGCGGCACGUACGUGUUCUUGGAGUUCUCGUCGUUGCAGGAGGAGCUGCUGCUGGAGGCGCGGUUCCACAGUUCGAAGCGCGAUCGCGCCAGCCAGGGGUACCCGCGGCUGCCACCGCUGCGCGUCGACUGGGCGGUGCAGCACCCGUGGGUCCCCAUGGACCGGGGCCUCAUGGACCUCGUGCCGGAGUAGUGCGGGUUCGAGCUGCAAAAGCGGAAGCCGCAGUAGGAGGAGCUCGACGACAGGCCCUUCCUCCGCUGUAAGCUGCCGCCGCUGUUUUCCCCCCUCUGCGACGACACCCUCAGGCGCCUCCCCGACCAGCAGCUGCCGCUCCUGCGCGCGCCGUUCCACGCCCGCAAGUACCUGGGCGCCGACUCGCCGCUGAUGGGCGACCUGGAGCGGCAGUGGCACCGUAGCGACCGCCACUCCACGCACCGCUCCCUCGGGUCUCCCGCCGGCAGGUACCUGCCCCACAAGCACUGCGACAGCCGCCACAUGUUGAGGUGCGACCUAACCCUAGGUAGCCUAACGCCGUUGAGAGCGAGAAGCUAGUACCCCUCUAUCAUGGCGUCUCGUUUUAGUGAACUACGCAUUAGACAACCACAUCGCUCUCAAUUCUUGGUUUACAUGUCGUCGAAAAGGGGUAGGCCACAUUGGUGAACGAG
rnacentral:rRNA from 1 species